rnacentral:lncRNA from 1 species
AUGAACGUCCUGUCAGAGUCUUUCCUGGAUCUAGCUGCAAGAGCCUGGCUCAGGAUACACCUGAACUGUGCCCCUCACCACCCAGACCACAUCUCCCCGGACUUACUAUGUGUUGCUGCUUCCAGCUAUGUGACUUUACUCACACUAAUUCCCAGAAGACCAAGCAUUCGUACGGAUAACAUGAAAGGGUGUGGACGUGGACCAGGCACAUGGAACUCAGCCCUCUGGACACACGGGAAGCUUUUAAGAAGACACAGCACCCAAGCUCUAUCUUCAAGGGUGAGGAGUAUGCCAGACAUAAGACCUGAGAGGACAGCGGUCUACACAGAGGGAACAUCCUGGAGGGAAUGGCACACAGCAGAGCUUAAAAUAAAGCAGCACAGAGACAGCUGUGGUCCAGCUGCCCGCCCUGUCGGUGGCAAUCGCCUCCCUGGUCAGGUUCAUCUCUGAACACCUGGUUGGGACAUGAGUGCAUCCUCCUAGGACCCAGAAGUCACUGAGCAGAAGUGCAGCAACGUGGCAAAACCAACAGAGCUGAAGCGGCACAGAACAUUCCUGGACAGGUCUGCGAGGGUGGGGCAGCCAGGAAGUGACAGCAUGAAGCCAAGCACACUGGGCUCCUCUCCAGAGAUAUAUGGCAAAGGUGCGAGCUUUAGAGACAGGAAUGUUGGGAUUCCUCUCCUGGUUCUUCCACUUAAUGGCUGCUUGAUUCUGAACCUUAUCAGAGUAUCAACCUUAUCAGAGUAUUAUCAAUUUACAUCUAUAAAAUGGGAAGAUCACAAAAUAUAACUCCCAGGGUUAUGAGUCUGCAUGAGCUAGCUUGGAUAAAUGUUUAGCGCUGUGCGUGGCAUACUGUA